rnacentral:rRNA from 1 species
UACGGAGGGUGCGAGCGUUAAUCGGAAUCACUGGGCGUAAAGCGCGCGUAGGCGGCUUUUCAAGUCAGGGGUGAAAUCCCACGGCCCAACCGUGGAACUGCCUUUGGAACUGUAGAGCUUGAGUGUCGGAGAGGGUGGCGGAAUUCCAGGUGUAGGAGUGAAAUCCGUAGAUAUCUGGAGGAACACCGGUGGCGAAGGCGGCCACCUGGACGACAACUGACGCUGAGGUGCGAAAGCGUGGGUAGCAAACAGG